rnacentral:rRNA from 1 species
AGUCGAGCGGAGAUGAGGUGCUUGCACCUUAUCUUAGCGGCGGACGGGUGAGUAAUGCUUAGGAAUCUGCCUAUUAGUGGGGGACAACAUUCCGAAAGGAAUGCUAAUACCGCAUACGUCCUACGGGAGAAAGCAGGGGAUCUUCGGACCUUGCGCUAAUAGAUGAGCCUAAGUCGGAUUAGCUAGUUGGUGGGGUAAAGGCCUACCAAGGCGACGAUCUGUAGCGGGUCUGAGAGGAUGAUCCGCCACACUGGGACUGAGACACGGCCCAGACUCCUACGGGAGGCAGCAGUGGGGAAUAUUGGACAAUGGGGGGAACCCUGAUCCAGCCAUGCCGCGUGUGUGAAGAAGGCCUUAUGGUUGUAAAGCACUUUAAGCGAGGAGGAGGCUACUGAGACUAAUACUCUUGGAUAGUGGACGUUACUCGCAGAAUAAGCACCGGCUAACUCUGUGCCAGCAGCCGCGGUAAUACAGAGGGUGCGAGCGUUAAUCGGAUUUACUGGGCGUAAAGCGUGCGUAGGCGGCUUUUUAAGUCGGAUGUGAAAUCCCCGAGCUUAACUUGGGAAUUGCAUUCGAUACUGGGAAGCUAGAGUAUGGGAGAGGAUGGUAGAAUUCCAGGUGUAGCGGUGAAAUGCGUAGAGAUCUGGAGGAAUACCGAUGGCGAAGGCAGCCAUCUGGCCUAAUACUGACGCUGAGGUACGAAAGCAUGGGGAGCAAACAGGAUUAGAUACCCUGGUAGUCCAUGCCGUAAACGAUGUCUACUAGCCGUUGGGGCCUUUGAGGCUUUAGUGGCGCAGCUAACGCGAUAAGUA